CACAUCGGUGUGCAACGGAACACAGUUUAAGAAACACUGUUCCGGACGGUUCCCACCUAUCACUGCACAGAAGCAUCAGGGCAGUGAUGGAUUACACCACAUGUGGGACAGAACAGGGAUCUGACACCGUAACAAAGGCUGGGCAUUAGGGAGGUCUUUUCGUUGUACCUCAUCAUAGUUUCCCUCAUGCAUUGAACAGCACAUGGGAGCUGGUUGGGCCCUUCUAAGACUCUAACCCCCCCACACAUACUCAUCCCGAUUACCAUUGCUGACUGCCCAUCCUCAAUCACCUGCUACUCAUGGUCAUCUCGUUAACAAGCAUUGGCAUUUGUGACAGCGGCAGCAAUCAGCAAGCGACGACAGCCGCCAAUGGGCAGCUCAGAAACGGGAACAAAUUUGGAACGAGCAGCUAAAGCACGUCAAAUAGGAGGCCCCCGGAGUUUGCAGGAGUCCGGGUUGUAGGAGAGGAAACUACAUCACAGCACGGCAGUGUACUUUUCUUUAUGCAUGCCGGGAGUUUGGCGAGAAGGAGGACUAGAAAGAUCAGACUCCGCAGGGAAGCACUGAUCUGACUGAGAAGAUUAGCACCCUGUCUGAGGGUGAGCUGUGAACCUAAUUCCAUGCCUAUGUCUCUUAAAAAUACAGGUUGGUAUGCAAAACAUUGUCAGCUGUGUGAAUGAAGUGAUCUCUAGCCCCAUAUGUGCCUGCUUUUCCUCACAGGACAUAUGCUCACAGAAUAAAUUAAUUUAUAUGAAACAGAAAUCAUUUUACUCACAUCCCUCGAUUAAUAUCAUCACAAGGGCAUAGCUGGAAGCCACCGAGAACUUUCAAACCUUCACCAUGGAAGAAAACUAUAAUUUUGCCUUCUUUUAAGCUCUCUUUGAGCUUUAAUGGUUUCCCUUUUCAUACAAUAUGAAUGAAGUCGCUGUUGCUGGCUCUGGCAAUCUUAUCAAUUUAGUGGUGAUUCAGUGUUUUUCUUAAAGUCCCAACUCCUGGCGUCAUAUGAUUACAUGAAAUACUCAACUUGUGUUUUUUUCCCUUAAAAAUAACAUUUCUAGCCUUUGCGAGUAUGGAAAAACUCUUAGUUCCUGAAUAGAACUCAGAGGGAGCUGUGGAUUGGU